UGGGGAAUAUUGCACAAUGGGCGCAAGCCUGAUGAAGCCAUGCCGCGUGUAUGAAGAAGGCCUUCGGGUUGUAAAGUACUUUCAGCGGGGAGGAAGGGAGUAAAGCUAAUACCUUUGCUCAUUGACGUUACCCGCAGAAGAAGCACCGGCUAACUCCGUGCCAGCAGCCGCGGUAAUACGGAGGGUGCAAGCGUUAAUCGGAAUUACUGGGCGUAAAGCGCACGCAGGCGGUUUGUUAAGUCAGAUGUGAAAUCCCCGGGCUCAACCUGGGAACUGCAUCUGAUACUGGCAAGCUUGAGUCUCGUAGAGGGGGGUAGAAUUCCAGGUGUAGCGGUGAAAUGCGUAGAGAUCUGGAGGAAUACCGGUGGCGAAGGCGGCCCCCUGGACGAAGACUGACGCUCAGGUGCGAAAGCGUGGGGAGCAAACAGG
rnacentral:rRNA from 1 species